CCUGUUUUGGAGGUGUAAAUUUCCUAUAGGACGAUGCAUGACUUCGGGAACAAUUGACUCUGCCUUCAGGGAAUAUUUUCUAAGGAAGGAAGGUAACCUGAAGCCUAAGUGGUUACAGGCGUAUUGGAUCCCACACCUUGGCAGAGGAUUAUUUCUGCAUAUGUUCUGGGACAGCUCAGCUUUAAAGACUUACAGAGGAGAAAAAAAAA